rnacentral:rRNA from 1 species
GAUGAACGCUGGCGGCGUGCCUAAUACAUGCAAGUCGAGCGAACAGACGAGGAGCUUGCUCCUCUGACGUUAGCGGCGGACGGGUGAGUAACACGUGGAUAACCUACCUAUAAGACUGGGAUAACUUCGGGAAACCGGAGCUAAUACCGGAUAAAAUAUUGAACCGCAUGGUUCAAUAGUGAAAGACGGUUUUGCUGUCACUUAUAGAUGGAUCCGCGCCGCAUUAGCUAGUUGGUAAGGUAACGGCUUACCAAGGCAACGAUGCGUAGCCGAUCUGAGAGGGUGAUCGGCCACACUGGAACUGAGACACGGUCCAGACUCCUACGGGAGGCAGCAGUAGGGAAUCUUCCGAAAUGGGCGAAAGCCUGACGGAGCAGCGCCGCGUGAGUGAUGAAGGUCUUCGGAUCGUAAAACUCUGUUAUUAGAGAAAAACAAAUGUGUAAGUAACUAUGCACGUCUUGACGGUACCUAAUCAGAGAGCCACGGCUAACUACG